rnacentral:rRNA from 1 species
AGUCUCCUACGGGGGGCAGCAGUGGGGAAUUUUGGACAAUGGGCGCAAGCCUGAUCCGGCUAUUCCGCGUGUGGGAUGAAGGCCCUCGGGUUGUAAACCACUUUUGUAGAGAACGGAAAGACACCUUCGAAUAAAGGGUGUUGCUGACGGUACUCUAAGAAUAAGCACCGGCUAACUACGUGCCAGCAGCCGCGGUAAUACGUAGGGUGCGAGCGUUAAUCGGAAUUACUGGGCGUAAAGGGUGCGCAGGCGGUUGAGGAAGACA